UUUGAUCUAACGCUCUGAACUAGGCAAACAAUGGUAAUAUAACAUCAGUCCAUUUCCCUUCUCAAACACUCUCGAAUGAGAAACCCUAGCCGCCCCUUUUACCCUCGCCGUCUCCGCCGUAGUCCACCAAUCGGAAAUCGCCUCAUGGCGGCAGAACACCUCCAAACUCCACCAAAUUAACACCAGAUAACCACCAUAACCUCCUCAUCCUAUAUCUAUCACCGAUUUCUCCAAAAUCUUUACCCAUUUGCUCCAAUUUCAGAUCUAAAACUUUGAAAGAAAACCAAAACCCUAAACUGUCCUGUUCUCUUUGAUUAUUAUGGUUUCAAAGGUUAUGAUAAUCGAUUGUUCUUGACAAGAGCAAUCAAUUAGCGUCAGUUUUGGUUUAUUUCAAGACCUUCCGGACUCUGACCAAGCACCUACUGGCCCGCCAAAGCUCCAAGGCUUACAUAGCUCAUGCACCUGCCUUAGUUACCUACUUAAUCUCCCAGUCGUUUGUUUUUAUUUCCCUUUUAUUUUCUGUUUCUUCUCAUGUGUUAUUAUUUCUGCAAUACUGUUUUAGGUUUCAAGUCUAUCUUUAUUUUUCUUUUUUUUUUCUUUUAGCUUUGCUUGACUACUGCACUAUAAUAAAGUUUUAGUUUAAAUUUAGUUGCAUAGUCUUCUAGUUAACAACAUUGUUAUUUAGUCGACGACUCUUCUUUUAAUCUAGUUUGAACCAAUUUGUUUAAAAUGGUUUCUGUAUUUAGAUUACUCAAAUGCAUGAUUAGUUAAUUCAGAUUACAAGUUUUUUUAAUUAGCCCUAAGGUUGUGACCACAUGAUGUCUUGGUUUGUUUAGAGGUCUGAUAUGUGUUUGCUACCUUAUUUUGUUAAUUGGAAAUCAGGAGUUUAAAAUAGUAAUAACAAGAACCUAAAAGGAGGUCAAUUGGGAAAUGAGAUAAGGGUUUGAUAUCAGAAGCUUCUAGAAGGGGCUAAUGAGUAAUCAAACAAGCUGAAUUUAGGUCAGAAUUGGUGGGGAUUAAAAUAAACUAGCAAAUGGGAGGGUAAAAUUGGGUUUUACAUAAGUUAAAUAUCAGAAGAUUCUAGGACUUUGGACAGCUGUCCCCAUUUUUAGCAAAAGAUGCUGAAAUUGGGUGGGAAAAAGAACAUACAGCUGUAAAAAGAUGCUAUAAUAUUCUGAAUUUCAGAAUUUUAGGUUAGAAUAUUCCAUUUUUUAUGCCUUUUUGUGCACUCUAUAACAAGAAAAUCACUCACUCAUAUACACACACUCAUCAGAUUUUCAGAAACCUGAAAAGCACAAAAACGUUCAGCUAUUGUUUCAUUGAUAGCUGAUCAAUUUCUUUUCUGAUUUCGACCUAAGUUAGAAUAAAUUUUUCUUUUGAAAUUUCUGGAUUCUUGAGUUGCAAGAUGGUUUGAGGUUGAAUGCUAUAGUACUGUUGGUUUUUGCUGCUAGUUUCAUUGGUUUCCUUCUUUGUUCUUGUUGUUUUUUCCUUGAAGAUUCAUAUCCUUAUUCUUAUUCUUUGUAACCAGGUAUAUCUUGUGCCUUGAAUUAUGAAUGAAAGCUUGUUUUGAAGAUAUUGCUGCCAUGGAGUUUUGGAAUUAUAUUUACAUUUUUAUUUCGUUCUGAUGUUUACUUCUGAGUAAUUCGAAUACUGUUCUUUUUUUGGCUUUUUUCUUAUUAGUUUCUGUUUAGUUACAUUAAAGUUUUUGCUGUGUGGAUUCAUGAAAUAGCCAGGAUGUUCAGUGUUGAAGGAUUUGAAUAGCACCUCUUGCAUAUGCUGAGUUUAGGUUAAGUAGUCUAGUUUAAAAUGUUAACUUUCAGUCUUUUCUACUUCUAUGUGAUUCUGUCCAGUUUUUUAAAUUUACUGUUUGGUAAUAUAUGAGCUUUUCAUGCUUGAGUAUUUUGGAUAAGUGCUGGGUAUAAUCAAAAUAGAACAUGAUUGAUGCUUGAGUACAUUUGGUUGAAGUGUUUCAGCACUACUACAGUGUGUAAAAUGAUUGUAUGUUCAUGUUGCUUCAUGAGCAACAAUUGUAGUCUUUUAGCGUUUCUACAGUGUUCAAAAGAAUUAUGUAUAUUGAAAAUGCAAUGUAUAGCUUUAAGCAUGUUCAGUUUUUCUUACUACUGCUAAUUCCAGCAUUUUUAACUAACCAUCUACAAUGAUUUAGGAACAGUUUUAAAGAUUCAAUUAUUUUUUUGUUAUUAUUAAAGGUAUGAUAAAUAUUUAAGGCCCAGCAGGUUAGGCAUUUCAUUUAUAAUUGGUGCAAAUAUGACUAUACACGAAUUGUGAUGAGUUAAGCCUUAACAGGCUUUGGGUGUUUGAGGUACUUUGGGCCUGGCAAUGGCCCAAAUCAGGCUGCCAAGCCGAAAACAUGCCUCUUUUGUUUUCAUCCUCCUUUGUCUUAUGUUUGGGCUCAAUUUGCGAGCCCAGUUGGUACCAGCCUUAUUUUCUUUUAGUAAUCACCCUUAAUAAUAUAUCGGGCAUAAUGCUGGCCCAGUUGCUUGCUAAUAGCUAAAGACCUUCCUUAUAUUUCCCUACAUAUAAUUAAUAGCUUGACAUUUAAGUCCAAAAUAGCUGUAAGUAAGAACAUCCUUCUAUUACUUUAAUUAAACCCUAGUCUUCUAAAAUUGAGGUGUGCCAUCUAUCAUCGAAUCAUCUAUGGCCCUCAUAUUAGUAUUACAACUUAGAUAUUAAAUAACCUUAAAUACUUGUUAGCUUGCUUUAGGCAUGACUUAGAUUAUUAUCGUGAUUAUGAAUACGUUCGUGUGACAUAAUUACGAAUUUCAUUCUAAAAAUAAAUCGAGGGACGCGUUCGCGCAACUUCAACCAAACUUUCUAAAUAAUUAAUAAAGCGUGAUUAAUUGUGGACACGUAUGCAUGACAUGAUUUUUGACGCGCCAAACGAAAUGAGUACACAUACGCGUGACUCAAUUCUUUAAUUAUGAAUAAUCAAGAAAUUAAAAAGCGGUAAAAAGGUAAAUGCACAUAGGUUCUAAAAUAAGUAAUUAGACAAUUUAAGCCAAGUAUAAAUCGCUAAGAGAUCGUGCUAGAACCACGGAACCCGGGAAUUCCUAGCACCUUCUCCCGGAUUAACAGAAUUCCUUAUCUAGAAUUUCUGGUUUGCAGACAUUUAAAUAAAGUCAAAAAUUUCCUCGAUUUGGGAUUUUAACAUAAACUGGUGACUUGGGAAACCAAAAAUAAACUAUUCCAAGUGGCAACUCUGAUAAAUUAAAUAAAAUAAUUCCAUUUCGAAUCAUGUCACUUUAAUUGAAAAAACUCCCUUAUAUCCUCCCCCUCGGGCGGGUAAAAAAAGAGGUGUGACAGCUCUGGCGACUUCGUUGGGGAAUGAGAACCCAGAACUUCUGGUUCAGGGUUCAAGAAUUUGAACUUGUUAAUGUGAUUUUUAUUUGGCUUUAUUUAUUGUUGAUAUUACUGUAUUUUGUGUACCUAAUGUGCUAAUUUCCAUUUAUUUACUGUUUUGAUAUUACUUGAACUGUAUUUAAAUGUCUUCUUAUGCCUCCUUUCUGAGUCUUCUAAAAGACGGUGCACACGUUUGCAUGGCCCACUUUUUCUGUUAGAAGUUAUACCAAAUAGAACGAGGCUGGGCAAUCAACAAGGCCGGACAAACUUUCGUGCUCCCGGUACGUUGCCCCCUCUUCAGAUCGAGUCUGUUCGCUCGGGUAAGCCAGGUUUAGAACACAACCCCAGGUUUAUACUUAGAAUAACGUAACCUCAUGCCGGAUCCCUAGUAGGAACUUUUAUUUUUAUCACGUGCAUUUAACCUUGGGGACUCAACACAGGGGUUGGGUCUAUCUAGGACGGGUGUACCCAAAAUAAAAGACCAUCCUGAUGCAUCCUACAUGCUAUAUGAAUAUUUAUUUGUUUCGGCUUACAUGUUGACCGGCUAGGAAAAGAAAAUCAAGAGAAAAACCAAGAGUGAGGUAGGAUAGAGAAUUCACCCGGUUCUGAAAAUCUCAGUAUUUGAAAAUGCCUCGAAACUCUGCCAAAUUUUUUGAAAAAAAAAGAGAGGAAAGGAAAAUGUAUUUCAAGAAAAAAAAGAGUGAGUAAAAUAUCAUUUUUUCCAAUUAUGUCAAAAUUGACCGAACUACGCAGGUCUGAUUCUCACCGGAUGUGGGAUACGUAGGCAACCUUUAUAAGAUUCAGCCUCAUUUUUGCAAAAAAUAACCAAAUAAAUGUAGUUUAGGGCUUUGGUCAAAAGAACAAGCCGACCCAGCUUCAGUUAUGUCUUAAGUCGUUCUUGCCGGGAUAACCUUAGAAUAUCUUUCAAUUGUCGAAGGGCUAUUUUCGUGAAGAAUGGGCAAGUCUGUCAAUAAGGUGUCAUUUUUCCACAAAGUACCUUCCCCCGACCUCAAAAUUUAUUUGGAAUUGUGAAGGGGCUAUGUUUACAAAAAUGACCACUUUUGCUAAAAUAGCAUAGGGGGCCAUUUUUCAUUAAUUCUCUCUUUUUUGGAAAUUGAAAACUUGUUUCACAAAGGAGUUCACCAGAGUCAACCCUAACCUUAAACAUCCACAGGUACAAAUGAACACUGUCCAGAACCCAUCACAAUUGGUCAUAGAGUAGGCUCAGGUGCAGCUUCGUAUGUGGUGGAAUGAUUUAGAUGAAGAUGGUCAGGAUUGGGUAAAAGAGCAGUUGGGUGCCCUUAUAGACAUUAUGAAAAUCCAACCCCUAGAGGAUCUAAUCAAGGCUUUGGUAACCUUUUGGGAUCCUAUACACAACGUGUUCCGUUUCUCGGAUUUUGAGCUCACCCCCACUCUGGAGGAAAAGGCCGGAUAUAUUUACUUUUACCGGGACUUGAGGAAAUAGCAACUUAUAUUCCCAAGGGCUCCCUCUAUGCACAAGUUCUUUGAUCUUUUGAAUAUCAAUAAGCAAAUGAAGAAGGUCCAUGUAAACAAAGGAUGUUGUUCUUUCUACUUCUUGUACUUUAGGUUCGGGCACUCAUCUAGGUUUGAAACGCAUGAAAAGGGAUUAAACAACAAACAAGAUAACAGCCUCUGGCAAAUUCAUCGUCGGUUCUCUUUCAUUGUGGCGUUUUUAGGAACUAUGGUCUUUGCGAAUGCAGAAGGGACAAUAAAUACUCGUAUGGCCAGAAUUGCACAAAUCCUCACUACUAAAAAAGAUCACACACUUGUUCCGUUAGUGUUGGCUGACAUUUAUUGAGCAGUAACCUUGUGUAAAUCUGGGGCUAAAUUCUUUGAGGGUUGCAACAUUCUUCUUCAAAUGUGGCUAAUCGAACAUCUCGGUCGUCACCCCAAGUUUAUGAGUUAUGGUUCGGGCAGGAACAACUUCAUCAAGAAUUAUGAGGAAAGGGUGGAAGACUACAAUUCUCUAGAAGGGUUUGAGGUCUGGGUCUCCCACUUAAGAACUCUAAAGGCAAGUCAGAUUGAAUGGACCUUAGGAUGGAUUCCGGUAACGUAAGUCAUACACAUCACGGCUUUAAAAGGCUACCUAAUGAUGAUGGGUCUAAGGAGUAUCCAACCAUACGCACUGCAAAAAGUUCUGAGGCAACUGGGAAGAUAUCAAGUGGUACCCAAAGAUGUAGAUUUGAGUACUCAAGUCAUUGAGCUACACCCAGAAGCAACACUACCUGAGGGUUUAGUCCAACGGGAUUGGAAUGGUUGCUUAUAUCUGAAAAGUGACACCCAGGUACCAGAUCUUGCAAGAGGAGAAGUGGAUCCAGGUUAUGCUGCGUGGUUUGAGAGAAGGUCUUGUGCGAAUAAUGAGCCAGAGCCCGAGCCCGAGCCUGAAAGGCCCGCUAAAAGACCUCAUUUUCAGGCUUUUUAUGAUAAAAUCUGGGAAAGGUUGGCUUGGGGAGAGAAGGAGAAAAAAAUAUCAAGUCACCAUUCACUCUUUGGAAGAAAAAUUGAGAAACGCCAUAUCCAAUAAUGAUAUACAGGCGCAAGAAGCUGAAGGUGAAAGGAGAAGGUUGGCCCAAGAAAAUUAAGCUCUCCGAGCCCAAAUCCGAAGAUGAAAAUAGCAGUUAAGAACCCGGUCAGAAGCAGAACAGAUGAAAAACUCAUCUAGAGCCUUACAAAGAAAGUAAGCGACUAUGAGGAUGAUUUGAAAAAGACUGAGGCUGAGCUAGCAAAAACCCGAACAAAGUUGGCUAUAAAUGCAGAAGAACAGGCAAGUUUCGUUCUACAGUUGAACGAAAGAUAUGACAUAGGAGUCAUGGGCUGGAAAAAGGAGCUUAAUAGCCUUGAGGGUGAAAUGACUAAACAAGCCAAGAGCUUCAAAGCCAAAAGAGAACACUGUUACGCUUUGAUGGUACAACUUGAGGAAGACCUACAACAUUUGCAAGACCAGAAUCAUACGGCCACCAGGUUUUGAAGGCUAGAUCUCAACAGAUUGGGUGGUUGUUACAAGAGAAGGGCAUCAUCAGGAAAAGGGUUAGAAGAAUCGCCGACUACAUUGUGAUGAAGUGCAACGAGUGCGAGGACAUGAACAGGUCCAUGUUCUUCUCCACAUUAAUGAUAUUUGUUCACCAGAUAAUGGACGACCUCCAUCGCCUCCAUGAAGACAUGGCACGUAGGCCCACGGCAAGACUAACUGGGGUCCCUAGGGCAGGAUUGGAGGCACUUAUGUACUCCAGAUUGUUUUUUUUUCUUUUCGAGUCUGUAUUUUUAUUCCUAGAGUCUUUUUUAGUUUUUCAAUUCUUAAGUAUGUAUGAUCGAGUCUUUGUAAUAGAGAAAAAUUAGAAGUUUUUGUUUUAAUGAAAAUUUGAAAAACCUAAAAAUUGUUUAUUUAUUUCGCAUUUAUCCUUUGAACUACAAGAUGAUUUGAUUCACAGGGCAUCGUGAUACGUAGGAAAUCCCCAUCGGAUCCGGUCAUGGUUUUAAAUAACUCAAAUAAAAGAGGAAACAAGAAAAAGAGAGAAAACAAGAAUAAGAGAAAACAAUGAGAGAGUGCAAAGAAAAGAGAGCAAAUAAUAAAAGCGCCAAAAGAAAAGAAAGAUGCAAAGGAUUGGGAGAUAGACCAAAGCUGGGAUGAGACAUGCAACCAUUAGCAAAACAUGUAGAAACACAUUUAACUUUUUAGGUGCAUUUCAUUCCCCAAUGUGCGAUACCCUAUGUGUUAAUUACCUCAAACUAACCGGUUUGUUGUGUUUGCUGAUUCAAGGUUCUAUUUUUUAAGCUGGAUGGUUUUGUGGUAACCUGGCUUCACACCCAUACUUUAUAAGGUCUAAAGGAAGUGUCGAAAUGACGUCAGAAAUUUAGCUACCAACAAUUACCCCCUCAGAUGGUAGCUAGUUGUCAGUGAUCCCGACGUUAGAGUCAGCAGCUGCUGAAGAGAACAGGGCAUUGCGCCUCUACAUGUUGGAAAUGUGGGAGGCUUGGUCUAAUAAUAGAGAGCCACCUAGUGAGAUACCUGGUUUUCCUGAACUAAUUCCCAGAACAAAUGGGACCUCCAACAUCCCCAUAAAUUACCCGACCACCCCAUUCGGAUACCCCCAUUAUGUCAGCCCAUUUCACAGGAAUGCCUUCUGAGGUUCGCCCCUAGGCUAUGGUUUCGGGAGUGUUUUCCAACAUAUUCACCGCACCACUAACUUCAGCUACGAUACAACCAACUUUGCCCAAGCCAAGUUUUGAGCCAUCAUCCUUUACUUUCUAGACACCGCCCUUUCCAUCGGACACAGAUCAUGUCACCCUAAACUCCUACCCUCAACAACCUUGGUAUGAGUUUACCACGGGACAAGAGAGAGCUAAAAAUAAUCCCGAGCAAGAGGAAAUCACUCGGAAAAUGAAAAGAAUGGAACAAAGCCUCAAGAAUAUACAAGGCUUAAGUGGCCAGAAAAGUGUCUCCUAUGCUGACUUAUGCAUGUUCACGCAUGUUCAUCUAACCAUCGGUUUUAAGACUCCCAAGUUUGAAAGGUAUGAUGGACAUGGGGACCCCAUAGCUCACCUGAAGAGGUAUUGCAAUCAGUUGAGGGGAGAAGGCGGAAAAGAAGAGCUCCUAAUGGCUUACUUCGGGGAAAGUCUAGUUGGAAUCGCAUAUGAAUGGUAUAUGGACCAAGAUAUCUCCCGCUGGCACAUAUAGGAUGACUUGGCCCGAGAUUUUGUUAGACAGAUCCAGUACAACGUGGACAUAGCUCCGGACACAAACUCUUUGUCUAAUUUCGAGAAAACGUCUUCGGAGAGCUUCCGAGAGUACAUCGUCAAGUGGCGUGAACAAGCUGCCAGGGUGAAACCCCCAAUGGAUGAGACCGAGAUGGUCAGUGUCUUCCUAUAAGCCCAAGAGGUUGACUACUUCCAAAACAUGAUGUCCGCUAUGGGUAAGCUAUUAGCAGAAGCCAUAAAGAUUGGAGAAAUAGUAGAGAAUGGUUUGAAAACGGGUCGCAUCCUGAGCCAGUCGGCUAUAAGAGCUACUUCUCAAGAAAUCCAGAGCGGGUUAGGGGGCGCAACAAAUCAGAAAAAGAAAGAAGAAGUAGCAAUGGUGGCCUCAAGUUUGAGAAACCCCCGUCAACCCCGAGGUUACUUUGGUUCCUCCUCAAAUACCCCGCAAUAUUAUUAUCCUUACCAGGAUGCAGCUUAUGCCAUGACUCCUCAGCCUUAUACGGUGAUGAAUGCCAUCCAUAUGCUCGACCAUAAUAACAGUUAAACCAAAACUGAUCUCCACCUCCCAGAAAUAACCCUCCUCAACAAGCUCCAUAUAAUCCAUGUCCCUACAGAAUAACUUUCCAUAUAACGCCCGUGCCCGUGAGCCACCCAGGAAGAAUAACUUCACACCUAUUGGGGAGCCGUAUUCUAGCCUCUUCCCAAAGUUGGUCCAAAUAGGUCUGUUGCAGUCCAUACCUCCAAACAGGCAAAUCUAGAGUCGCCCUCCUACCGAUACGGUACCCGAUGUGCUUAUAUUUAGGGGCAUAAGGGCACGACACUGAGGAUUGUUGGACCCUAAAAGGGCGGUUAAUAACCUGAUAGAACAAAAAUGGGUAGUUCUAAGGGAUGAAGAGGUCCCCACAACAACCCAUUACCAGCUCACAACAACGAGCCGGUUAUUGGGAUGAUCUGUGAAGACAAAGAGUUUGACUCGGCUUUGAAAGAUAUCAUUGCUAUUGCCGAUGUUGAAAAGAAGCCCAAAACAGUAGCAAAUUAAGCUAAGGAUGAGAAGAAAAACAAUCUCAUUCCUCAAAGCGUAGAAAAGGUUGUGGAAACCAAAACCGGGGCAGUACCUCCUAAAAUUUCCAUUCUAUAUGUCCCCAGGGCACCCAGGAAAGAGUAGUUUGUGUUGAUUCCCCCCAAAAGGUUUGAGCAAAACAAGGUCACACUGAUGGUACCAAAGAUGUACGUACCAAAGGGGAUUAAUGUGGCGCGGGGGCCAGUAAUUUCACCCAGGCUAACUGAGCCCGUGGUUAUCAGCCGCGCACCACAGAAGCCCAUGAAGGAUCCCACUACCGUCCCCUGGAACUACAAUAAAGCGGUAGUGACAUACAAGGGAAAAGAAAUCAUGGGGGAAGUGAAUGAAACAAACCCGUUGGGGAAGUACCUCUAUUUGGAAGAAGUGAACAAUGCCAAACAGAAGCAUUUUCCGCUUAAAAAACCAGUCAGUGCCAAAGAGGCAGAGGAAUUCUUCCGAAAGAUGAAAACUGUGGACUACGAAGUAAUUGACCAACUCUGGAAGUAUCCUUCCUAGGUCUCGCUUUUGUAUCUACCCAUAAGCAUGAGUGAACAUCAGAAAGUGCUGAUAAAAACCCUUAAUGAGGCAUAUGUUCCGGCCGAGACCACGGUUGAGCAAUUGGAAAGAAUGGCGCAACGAUUCUUUGAAGUCAAUCGGAUUUCAUUUAGAAUAAAUGACUUGCCCUUGGAAGGGGCUGCCCACAACAAAGCUCUUCAUUUGACAGUUAAAUGUGAAGGGUACUACGUGAAAAGAGUCAUGCUGGAUAGCGGAUCUGGGGUUGACAUCUGGCCUCUCUCAACUUUGCAAACAAUGGAAAUUGGGACUGAGAGAAUCAGGCCUAACAAUGUUUGUGUACGUGCUUUUGAUGGAGUCAAGAGAGACAUAAUAGGGGAGAUUGAUUUGAUCUUAACUAUCGGUCCUGUGGAUUUUGAAGUGACAUUUCAGGUCUUGGACAUGGACACUUCCUACAAUUUUCUCCUAUCAAGUCCUUGGAUCCAUGCGGCAGGGGCCGUACCUUCUACUCUGCACCAAAUGGUUAAGCUUGAACAUGAAGAUCAGGAAAUUGUGGUCCAUGGAGAAUAUGAGCAAUCAAUUUACUGGGACCCAUCAGUCCCAUGCCUGGAGGCUAAAGAAGGUAGCAAGCACAUAGUCUACCAAGCUUUUGAGAUUGUGGUCGCAGACAAAUGUGAGGAAGGAACCCCAUGUCCUCAACCCUUUUUGUCCAAUGCAUCAAUAAUGGUUGUCAGUGAGAUGAGCAGGCAUGGCUACAAGCCCGGGAAAGGGCUCGGGGCAUCUUUGCAAGGCAUUACGGAGCCCAUCACCUUGACUACCAGUGAGAAUUUCUUUGGUGUCGGUUUCCAAGCUACAGAAGCCGACGCGAAAUGGGCUAAAGAAUGCAAGAGCGAUGGGUGAGUUCUACCUCAGCCGGUCCUGCAUCUCGCCAUAACUUUUGUUAAACCAAGGUAUGUAGAGGAAGAAAAUGAGGCCUUCACAGCCAAAAUAAUUGAGGACAUAUGUGGAGCCAUGAGGCAAAUAUUAUAUGAAGCUCACAUGGUCCAGCUGGGAGAAGGUCGAGCACUGCUGAGGUGCAAUAUAUGGGGCCCAAUGCCAAGCUUCAAAAUUGGAAGGCUACUCUGUUCCUAGUCAGGCGGGAAUUCAGGUAGCUUAGUCUUGCCAUCCUUUCUGCAUUCCGAGUUAUUUCAGGGUGUAACUCGAAUGUCUUUUAGUUUUUGUUCUUUUAAAAUUACAAUGUAAACCCUUCUAUCUUCAAAUUCAAUGAAAUGAAAUCAAUAUUUCAUCGUAUAUGAAUCUCUUUCUUUAUUAUUUCUAAUUUUUGUUACUUUUCUUAUUUCUUCUCUCAGUUAUAAUAAUGCGGACUUAAAUAACAUGACAUACUUGUGGACUUCAUGCCCAGAUCCUAACACGCUGUCUGAUUGUGAAAUAAUGAAUCAAGAACCAGAAUACGAUGAAGAUGAGGCUUUUAGGGAAAUAAACCAAGAAUUGGAAAAAUUUGAGAAUGAUCCUAAGCCAAAUUCAAAUGAAACUGAGCCAAUUAAUUUGGGUAGUUCAGAGGAGGUCCAGGAAACCAUGAUAAGCAUUCACAUUGAUGAAAGAACUAGGGAUGCAUUAAUCCAACUCUUGUUCGAAUUCAAAGUUGUGUUUGAUUGGUCCUAUGAUGAAAUGCUAGGACUGAGUGUUGAUUUAGUGGUGCACAAAUUUCCAACUUACCCCGAUCAUCCCCCUGUCCAACAAAAACAGAGGACGUUCAAAACUAACAUAAGUGACAAGAUGAAAGAAGAGGUCACCAAACAGUUAAAAGCGGGUGUGAUCCAAGUGGUCCGAUACACCACGUGGUUGGAUAAUAUGGUCCUAGUGCCAAAGAAAGAUGGGAAAACCCAAGUGUGUGUUGACUAUCGAGAUCUGAACAAAGCAAGUUCGAAAGACACCUUCCCUUUACCAAACAUUCACAUAUUUGUUGACAACUGUGCCAAACAUGAGAUACAGUCUUUUGUGGAUUGUUAUGCUAGGUAUAAUCAGGUCUUGACGGAUGAGGACAAUGCAAAAAGAUGGCUUUCACCACCCCGUUGGGUACUUAUUGUUACAGGGUCAUGCCUUUUGGUUUGAAGAACGCCGGGGCAACUUACAUGAGAGCUAUGACUGCCAUCUUUCAUGACAUGAUGCACCAAGAAAUCGAGGUGUAUGUGGAUGAUGUAAUCAUUAAAUCAAGAAUGCAGGACGACCAUGUUCGGGAUCUGAGAAAGUUCUUUGAGCAUCUACGUAAGUAUGACUUAAAGUUAAAUCCAGCUAAGUGUGCAUUUGGAGUAUCAUCCGGGAAACUUUUAAGGUUUGUAGUUAGUCGGAGGGGCAUCGAGUUAGAUCCAACAAAGAUAAAGUCUAUUCGGGAUUUGCCUUCUCCAAGAACCAAGAAAGAGGUUAUGAGUCUGUUGGGAAGGUUGGAUUACAUCAGCAGAUUCAUUGCUUAGUUGAACUCCACAUAUGAACCCAUAUUUAAGCUUUUGAAGAAAGAUGCGGUGAUUAGAUUGACAGAUGAGUGUCAAGAAGCUUUUGACAAAAUCAAAGAAUAUCUGUCGAAUUCGCUAGUAUUGGUCCCACCCGAACCUGGAAGACAUUUAUUUUUGUAUUUGACAGUAUUAGAGAAUGCUCGGAUGUGUUCUCGAGCAACAUGAUGCUACCAAAAAUAAAGGACAUGCCAUAUACUAUUUGAGCAAGAAGUUUACUAGUUAGGAAGCCAAAUACGCAUUAUUGGAAAGGACUUGCUGCGCCUUAACUUGGGUUGCUCAGAAACUUAGGCCUACACCACCUAUGUCAUCACCAGAUUGGAUCCUUUGAAAUACAUAUUCCAAAAGCCAAUGCACACUGGGAGGUUAGCGAAAUGGCAAAUCCUGCUCACUAAAUUUGACAUAGCCUAUGUCACCCGCACGGCCAUGAAAGCUCAAGAUUUGGUGGAUCACCUAGCUAAAAAUCCUAUUGAUGAUGAAUAUCAGCCUUUGAGUACUUACUUUCCAGACGAGAAAUUGAAUUCAGUUGAGGUAAUAUCAGAAGACACCAAUUCUUGGAAAAUGUUCUUCGAUGGAGUUGUGAAUGCGAAAGGUGUCAGGAUUGGGGCAAUUUUGAUUUUGCCCACUGGUCAGCACUAUCCGUCCGUAGCUCGACUUCAGUUUUUUUGCACGAACAACACUGCCUAGUAUGAAGCCUACAUUAUGGGCAUGAACAUGGCAAUCGAUCAAGAUGUGGAAGAAUUGUUAAUCAUGGGAGAUUGUGACUUGAUUAUCCGACAAGCUCAAGGUGAAUGGGAAACUCGGGAUGUCAAGCUUCUUCCAUAAAGGCAACAUGUGGAAGAUCUUAGCAAACAGUUCAAAUCCGUCAAAUUCAGGUACAUUCCUUGGUUUCACAAUGAGUUAGCUGAUGUACUAGCUACUUUGGCCUCGAUGCUACCGUAUCCAGGCAAUGUCCACAUUGACCCAUUGGAAAUCCAAAUCCGAGAAAGACAUGGUUAUUGCAAUAUAGUUGAGGUGGAACCAGAUGUUUAGCCAUGGUAUCACGAUAUCAAAAGAUUCUUGAAAACAAAGGAAUAUCCCGAGCAAGCUAGUGGAGACCAAAAAGAACCAUUUGGAGGCUCGCCAGUGGUUUCUUCUUGAGCAGAGAGGUCUUGUACAAAAGAACUCCAGAUCUGAACCUUCUAAGAUGUGUUGACGCCCAAGAGGACGGAAGAAUCAUGAAUGAAGUGCACGUAGGAGUGUGUGGGCCCCAUAUGAAUGGAUAUGUCCUUGCAAAGAAAAUCCUUCGAGCAGGUUAUUACUGGAUGACUAUGGAAAAUGAUUGUUUCAGUUUUGUCUGAAAGUGUCAUCAGUGUCAAGUACACAGUGACCUGAUUCAUGCACCGCCUUCAGAAUUACAUCCUAUGUCAGCACUGUGGUCGUUCGUUGCUUGGGGUAUGGAUGUCAUUGGGCCAAUCGAGCCAAAAGCUUCAAAUAGGCAUAGAUUCUGUGAGGCCCCGUGAAAAUUUCCACUUUAAACCCGAAUGCUCGUAGUGGCAAUUAGGAAUAUGUGUUAGAGAUGUGUAAAAUUCAUCGUGGAAAGCUUGCUCGCCGUGGUUCGGACCCUUUAGAACUGGUCUAUGCAUUAAAAAGUCAAAGACUAAUGUUUUCCAGAAAAGUGCCCUUUUUGCGGUCCACUAUGCGGUCGCAUAAUAGGAAUGCAGAUCGCAUAGUCACCGCAGAGUGAAGCAAUGUGUUGGCCAAAUUGAUGUCAACUAUCCGGCCAAUUAUGCGAUCACAUAAUCGAUAUGCGGGCCGCAAAGUCGUCACAUAAUUCCCUUGGGAUUUUGUAAGGGGCAGUUCUGCGGUGCAUUAUGCGAUUGCAGAACGGGUAUGCGGACCGCAGUUCAGGUCUUGGGGAGCAUUUUUGCGGUCCAUUAUGCGGGCUGCAUGUCCACUUUGCGAUCGAAGAUCUGAGUCGGGGCUCUAGUUUUCUAAAUUUUAUACCUGACCCCCUGUCGUUAUAUCCGGUGCAAUAACUCAUUUUAAGCCCAUUUCCUGACACUUUUAGAGAGAGGGGGGGUCUAAGAGAGGGGAAGUGCUUCCCAUCAAAAUUACUCCAUGAAUCCUUGGUAAAUGAUAAUCAAGUGAGGGACCUAAACCCUCAUCCCAAAAGGUAAGGCUUCAUCACCUCAUCUCUCAUUUUUACACAUAGCUACAAAGGGUCAUUGGUGAGGUAAUUCAUGGGGAUAUGGGGGUUUGCAUUGCAUGCAUGUGUUCUUGAAGAUUAUGAGGAAUUAUAAAAGAGGAGGCAUGGGCAAUGGGAUAGUGUAAUCUUGCAUAAAAUAACCAUAAGGCCUUAGUGAACACUAAAUGCUCGGUAAAAUGCUCAAGAGAGCUUAGAUUAUGAUCUUUUCUUGAUUAUGAGUUAAAUUGUGCUAUAUUGCUUAAAUAGAUUAAAGUGCGAACAUUCCGGAAUGUUAUAGGAUUAAGGAAAGCUCGGUUGAGGUAUGUAUGGCUAAAACCUCGUCUUUUAGAAAUUGAGCUUCAUCGGCGUUUGUGUAGAUGUGGUAAGAUUAAAGCUGAAUUGUUGCAUUGCUUGUCAUUUUACAUGAAUUGAUGUUGUAACAGUAUACAACAACAACAACAACCCAGUAUAAUCCCACAAGUGGGGUCUAGGGAGGGUAAUAUGUACGCAGACCUUACCCCUACUCCGAGGGGCAGAGAGGCUGUUUCCAGGAGACCUUCAGCUCAAGAUAGCGACAAGAGACGAUAUAUUAGUACUAUCAAUAGACUCAUAAUAAAAUAGCAUAAAAUAACAUAAUAUAAAAAAUGACAGCAAUAUAAGAAAUAUAGGAAAUACGAAAAAGAUGGAAUAUAUAAUAAUAUCCAACAGAUAAAGCCCUGUAUCAGUAGCUGACCAGUAGCAUCCUAAGACUAACUCCUAACUGGAUAGUCUCACUCUAGUGUGCUGUAGAAAUACUCACAACUUCCCCCUAGCCUACAACCUUAAUGCUCGACCUCCACAAUUCCCUGUCAAGGACCAUGUCCUCAGUAAUCCUAAGUUGUGUCAUGUCCUGCCUGAUCACCUCUCCCCAAUACUUCUUAGGUCCCCCUCUACCUCUCCUCAUUCCCACCACAGCCAGUCGUUCACACCUCAUCACCGGUGCAUCAGUGCUCCUCCUCUGAAUGUGCCCAAACCAUCUGAGUCUUGUUUCCCGCAUCUUGUCCUCCAUGGGGGCCACGCCUACCUUCUCUCGAAUAUCUUCAUUCCUAAUCUUAUCCAUCCUUGUAUGCCCGCACAUCCAUCUCAACAUCCUCAUCUCUGCUACGUUCAUCGUCUGGAUGUGUGAGUUCUUAACCGGAACAUUUUUCACGCAUAUACGGUUACAACAUCCAAAAGAUGGCGCAACAUAUAUGUUGUCUUGAUAACUUGAAGAGGGAAAGGAUAUGAAUUAUGUAUCGAAAUGCUUGGACUUUAAAUUGAAAUUGAAGCUGCGUAUGUUGCCCCAUCCAUGUGAAGUCUCCUCUAUGCCUACAAUUUUAAUUGUUCUUGUGUGCGCUUAUUAUCCUAAAUUAAAAAUCUAACAUUGAAUGUGGAAACGAUGUGAUUAAUGCGAAGGGAAUAAUGCCUUGGAAAGGCAGCCUAGCGGAUUGGGCCGAGAUCGGACUCCGCUUAAGAUAGCGGUGGUAUUAUGAAUGAACUUCGGAAAGGAAAAGGAGAUUGUGAUUGAAAUAUAUGCCUCAAAUGAGGUGACCUAGCCGAUCGGACCGAGAUCGGACUCCACUCAAGAUAGCGGUGGUAUUGUGAACAAUGAUGAAUAGUGUGAAAUGCCCAAAACUAAAAGCUAUGUAAAAAUGAUGUGGAAGUUGUAUGAUUCUUUUAUUUGAUAAGGUGGUGAUCGUUUAAAGCUUGAGUUAUACUUGUGAUUUCUUAUUCUUGUAUGAAAGUUCUUUCUAACUAGAUGGUGUUUAGUUAUACAUGCUAGUACUAUUCCAUGGUACUAACGUCCCUUUUGUCGGGGGCGCUACAUUUUUAAAUGAAUGUAGGUGGAUCUAUUGCAGAUAGUGCGGAUCGCGCGUAGCGGAGUACCUUCUUCUUGAAAUCUUGGUGAGCCCCUUUCUCCUUCAAGGGGUUAUAUUGCACAUCUUUUGUUGUAGACUUCUACUUUUGAGGUAUAGCUGGGGCCUUGUUGCCGGCAUUGUCAUAACUUGUCUUUUCCUCCUUAGAGGCUCUGCAAACUAUGAUGUAAUUCAAAUUCUCGCUUUUGCUAAAGUGUAUUUGCAUGGAAUCUUAGAACUUAUCGAUAGUUUAAUGUUGUGAUUUAAAAUUAUCUAACAUUGUAGAAUUCACCCUCUUUCCUCAUCUAAUAAAUGAAUGAAAUCAUGGUUUCCUUAUUCAUAUCGAGUUGGGUAGAAAGUGCUUGAUAAGGCUUGCUCAGUUGGGGGCUUCUCGAUUGAGCACCGGUCAAGCCUCACGAGGUUGGGGCGUGACAAACUUGGUAUCCGAGCCUAAGGUUUUAAAGUGCCCUAGGAUGUCUCGGAGCCGUGUCUAGUAGAGUCCUUCUUACUGGUGUGUAGUCGACCACAUAUAUAAGUUGGAGGCUACUUGGGCAUUUAGGAAUAAUACCCUUCUUUGAUAUUCCGGAUCGUGCGGUGACACUUUUCCCUCUCUAAUUAGUGCAUUGUUCUAUCUUUCAGUAAAUAGCACCUAAGAAGAAAGCAAGAAUUGGACAGGAAGCCAAUGCUAAUGCUACUUCAAAAGUGACUGAUGAUUCACUGCUUGAUACUGUGGGUGAGGGUAGUCGCCCUGCUAUCACUCUGCCCGAUUCUUCUAUUCCAGAGCAGACUACCCCCAGUCCCUACACCCGUGGAGGGUACCACUAUCCCUCCCGAUAAUACUAUUUUCCCGCCUCCAGCCCCAGUUUCCGGUUCUAGUAUUUCUGAUGGAGAUCUUAGGGGAGCUAUUCAGAUAUUGACCUAGCUAGUGGCCUAUCCAGCCCAGAGGUCAAAUGUUGCGCCCAGUUCAUCCAGCCAGCAAAGGGAUUCUACUAGUUCUAGGGUAAAUAGAUUUCUUCAGUUAGACCCUCCAGUGUUUUCAGGUGCCAAUCCAGAAGAAGACCCUCAGAAUUUCAUUGAUGAGAUGCACAAGACCCUCAGGGUUAUGCGUGCAACUGAGACGGAGGGAGUAGAGUUGGCUGCCUAUGGUUUGAAAGGGGUGUCCUAUUCAUGGUUUGAGUUGUGGGAAGAUUCCCGAGAGGAGGGACGCCCUCCGGCGAGGUGGAGCGAGUUUGUUGAUGCCUUUAUAGAUCAUUUCCUACCCGCUGAGACAAGGGUAUCCCGUGCAGCAGAGUUUGAAAAUUUGAAGCAAGGUAACAAAAGUGUGUGGGAGUACCAUAUAGAGUUUGCUCGCUUGUCCAAGUAUGCCAUUCAUAUGUUGCCCACAAUGGAGGCCAGGGUGCGCCGGUUUGUUCAGGGCCUUAAUUCUUUGACUAUUAAUGAGGCUUCUACAGUUGCAUUAAAUUCUGACAUGAAUUAUAGGAAGAUGGUGGCAUUCGCUCAGGCCACAGAGAAGCAUAAAUUGAAGAACAGAAUGGAGAAAGAGGGUAACAUCAAGGCCCGGUCUACGGGCAACAUGGGAGAGUCACUAGGUGGGGAAAGAUCAGCUUUUAUGGGAGGAUCAUCAAGGCCUUCCCAGUCUGUUGCACAGUUUUUAGCUAGUGCACCGCCAUCAGGGCCCAGCCAGCAGCAGUGGAGUCGUUUUAGGCUCGGUCAGGGCAAUAGGGGAUCCCAUCAGCGGGGUCGGUCAGGAGAGAGGUUCCAGCAGCAACAGAGGUCCCCGUGCCCUAUGUGCGGGAAGAUGCACUCGGGGAUUUGCUACAUGGAGUUGCCUGUAUGUUAUGGAUGUGGGAUGAGGGGUCAUAUUUAAAGGCAUUGUCGUGUGUCCCGCCAGGGAGUAGGUAGGGGCACGACACAGCCAGCUAGCCCAUCAACUGCUACAUCUUUAGCCCCCUCUCCAUCUCGAGGUACCCCAGCACCUGCAGGGCGUGGUGCAGCUAGGGGUGGUGCGCAGAGUUCAGGAGGACCUAGCCAGUUCUAUGCUAUGAGUGGACGCCAGACCGCAGAGGCUUCCCCAGAUGUUGUUACAGGUAUUCUAACUGUCCAAUCUCAUGAUGUGUAUGCACUUAUUGACCCCGGUUCCACCCUGUCCUACGUUACCCCUUUUGUUGCUAUGGAAUUCAGGAAAGAACCAGAGCGGCUUCAUGAACCCUUCUUGGUGUCUACUCCGGUUGGUGAGUCAAUUUUGGCUACUCAAGUUUAUAGAAGUUGUGUUGUCAUGGUGUAUGGUAGGGAUACUAGUGCCGAUCUUAUUGAAUUGGGAAUGGUGGAUUUUGAUGUAAUAAUGGGAAUAGAUUAGCUUUAUUCUUGUUUUGCCAAGCUUGAUUGUCGGACUAGAACUAUGAGGCUUGAAUUUCCUAAUGAGCCCGCUAUUGAAUGGGAGGGAGAUAAUGUAGUGCCUAGAGGCCGGUUUAUUUCCUACCUUAAGGCCGCGAAGAUGAUCAAGAAGGUGUGUAUCUAUCAUUUAGUUCGAUUUACAGACACCAAUGCCGAGGUGCUUAGCCUUGAGUCUGUACCAGUUGUGAAUGAAUUUUUGAAUGUCUUUCCAGAUGAGCUCCUUGGGAUUCCACCAGACAGGAAGAUUAAUUUUAGGAUCGAUGUGAUGCCAGGCAUGCAGCCUAUAUCAAUUCCACCCUACAGAAUGGCACCGGCAGAACUGAAAGAGCUAAAGGAACAAUUAAAGGAUUUGCUAGAAAAGGGUUUCAUCCGUCCGAGCGUAUCACCGAGGGUCACACCGGUCCUAUUUGUAAGGAAGAAGGAUGGGUCUCUGCGGAUGUGUAUUGACUACCGACAACUCAACAAAGUCACAACCUAAAAUAAAUACCCUCUACCAAGAAUAGAUGACUUGUUUGAUCAACUGCAAGGUGCUACGUGUUUCUCAAAGAUUGACUUGCGGUUCGGGUAUCAUCAAUUGAAGAUAAGGGAGCAGGAUAUUCCAAAGAUGGCUUUCAAAAUUCGGUAUGGGCACUUUGAAUUUAUGGUGAUGUCCUUUGGGCUAACAAAUGCCCCGACAACUUUCAUGGAUCUUAUGAAUCGAGUCUUCAAGCCUUUUCUAGACUCCUUUGUAAUAGUAUUCAUUGACGAUAUUCUUGUGUUUUCCCGAAGUUAGGAGGACCAUGCUGACCACCUCAGGGUAGUUUUGCAGACUCUUCAGCAACAUCAAUUGUAUGCAAAAUUUUCAAAAUGUGAAUUUUGGCUUGAAUCUGUAGCGUUCUUGGGUCAUGUUGUUUUCGGGGAAGGAAUUACGGUUGAUCCUCAAAAGAUUGCAGCAGUGAAGAAUUGGCCUAGACCUACCACUCUAAUGGAGAUUCGUAGUUUCUUGGGUUUGGCUGGGUACUACAGGAGAUUUGUGGAGGGGUUUUCUACUCUUGCCUCUCCAUUGACUAAAUUGACCCAGAAAGCAGUAAGUUCCAAUGGUCAGACGCUUGUGAGAAGAUCUUCCAAGAAUUGAAAUCAAGAUUGACUACAGCACCGGUACUAACCCUGUCGGAGUGUAUAGAGGGAUUUGUGGUGUAUUGCGAUGCUUCCAGAAUCGGGCUCGGGUGCGUGUUAUUGUAGCAUGGAAAGGUAAUAGCAUACGCUUCUAGGCAACUCAAGAAUCAUGAAAAGAACUAUCCAACUCAUGACUUAGAGCUUGCGGCAAUGGUGUUUGCGCUAAAGAUUUGGCGACAUUAUCUAUAUGGGGUCCAUGUGGAUAUAUUCACGGACCACAAGAGCCUUCAAUAUAUUUUCAAGCAGAAGGAGUUGAAUCUGAGGCAAAGAAGAUGGCUAGAGUUCUCAAGGACUAUGACAUUGAUAUUCUCUAUCACCCGGGAAAGGCUAAUGUUGUGGAAGACGCUCUUAGUCAAAAAUCUAUGGGAAGUUUGGCUUAUUUGGAGGCAUGUCAGAGGCCGUUAGCCAGGGAGGUUUACCAGUUGGCUAGUUUGGGAGUUUGCCUAGCAAACUCUAAUGAAGGAAGGGUAAUUGUGCAGAAUAGGGUUGAAUCAUCGCUUGUGGCAGAGGUGAAAGAAAAAUAAUUCAAUGAUCCAUUAUUAGCACAACUGAAAGAGGGGAUUCACAAACACAAGACCACAUCUUUUUCCCUUAGUAUGGAUGAUGGUACCCUACGAUACCAAGACUGCCUAUGUGUUCCUGAUAUUGACGAUCUUCGGGGAAGGAUAAUGGCAGAAGCUCACACUUCCAGGUAUUCCGUGCACCCAGGUUCUACGAAAAUGUACCAUGAUCUCAAGGAAAUUUAUUGGUGGAACAACAUGAAGAAGGAUGUGGCGGACUUUGUGGCAAAAUGUCCGAAUUGUCAGCAAGUGAAGGCCGAACAUCAAAGGCCUGGUGGAUUAGCUCAAAGCAUAGAAAUUCCAAUGUGGAAGUGGGAGAUGAUUAACAUGGAUUUUGUGGUAGGGUUGUCGCGCACUCCGUGCAAGUUCGACUCAAUUUGGGUAAUCGUGGAUCGACUCACGAAAUCAGUGCACUUCUUGCCAGUUAAAGCUACUGACACAGCAGAACAGUAUGCCCAGUUGUAUAUCAAGGAACUGUCAGGUUACAUGGUACUCCAGUCUCAAUCAUUUCCUAUUGAGGGGCUCGGUUCACCGCUAACUUUUGAAAGAAAUUUCAGCAAGGUUUGGGCACACAGAUAAAUCUUAGCACAACUUUUCACUCUCAAACUGACGGGCAAGUAGAGCCGAUCAUUCAGACGCUUGAGGACAUGUUGCGUGCUUGUACUCUUGAUUUCAAGGGUAGUUGGGAUGACCAUUUGCCACUCAUAGAAUUUGCUUACAACAAUAGCUUCCAUGCUAGUAUCUAGAUGACACCAUUUGAGGCAUUGUAUGGUAGGAGAUGUAGGUCUCCCAUUGGGUGGUUCGAGGUUGCAGAAGCGGAAUUGAUAAGGCUAGACCUCAUGCAUCAGGCCAUGGAUAAAGUUAAGAUUAUUAAGGAGAGGUUGAAAGCUGUUCAGAGUCACCAAAAGUCUUACUCGGAUGUUUGUCGCAGAGAUUUAGAGUUCAGUGAAGAUGAUUGUGUAUUUUUGAAGGUUUCCCCUAUGAAGGGCAUCAUGCGGUUUGGGAAGAAGGGAAAAUUGAGUUCGAGGUAUGUUGGACCAUACAAAAUUAUUCAGAAGAUUGGUCAGGUGGCAUACAAGCUCGAGCUACCACCCGAGCUGUCAUUGGUACAUCCGGUCUUCCAUGUGUCUAUGUUGAGAAAGGUAGUAGGAGAUUCGUCCACUACUGUGCCUAUUGAAACUAUUGAGGUUAAUGAAGAGCUGUCGUAUAAAGAAGUUCCAGUUGUCGUUCUUGAUAGGCAAGUUCGAAAAUUGAGAAAUAAGGAAAUUGCAUCCGUUAAAGUGUUAUGGCGGAACCGGCAAGUUGAGGAAGCCACUUGGGAAGCGAGGAUGAAAUGAAAAAGAAGUACCCAUAUUUGUUUGAAUAGUCAUGAAAUAGCUUUUAUGCACUUAGCUUCUAUGAACUAUUAUCUUUUGAAUUAAUCUAUGUAUCGUAUAACUUCGUAUAAUGUAUGCUAUACGAAGUUAUUACNNNNNNNNNNNNNNNNNNNNNNNNNAUACUUAUAUUACUAUAUAUAUAUAUAUAUAUAUAUAUAUAUAUAUAUAUAUAUAUAUAUAUAUAUAUAUGUUUUCUAUGCGACCAUGGUUAGUAUUGUACGAGUUAUGUUAUGCCUAUGGAAUGUGUACCUGCUGUUAGGAUGUGUUUCUAGGGCCCUCUGACAGGUAGAUAAGGCCCAGAUACAAAGGAAACAAAUUUUGGCAAUUCAAGGAGUUAGCCAAAUUUGGAGACUAAUAGUAUGUUCAGGUUGAGAAAAAAAAAUUAGAAGGUUGCAUAAGAGAUUGCUAAUAAGCGAACCUUGAUCCUCAUUCAAGGACGAAUGAUCUUAAGUGGGGGAGGAUGUGAGGCCCUGUGAAAAUUUCCACUCUAAGCCCGAAAGCUCGUAGUGGCAAUUAGGAAUAUGUGUUAGAGAUGCGUAAAAUUCUUCGCGACAAGCUUGCUCGCCGCGGUUCAGACCCUUUAGAACUGGUCUAUGCAUUAAAAAGUCAAAGAAUAAUGUUUCCAGAAAAGUGCCCUUUUUGCGGUCCUCUAUGCGGUCACAUAAUAGGAAUGUGGACCGCAUAGUCAACGCAGAGUGAAGCAGUGUGUUGGCCAAAUCAAUGUCAACUAUGCGGCCAAUUAUGUAAUCGCAUAAUCAAUAUGCGGGCUGCGAAGUCAUCGCAUAGUUCCCCUGGGAUUUUGUCAGGGGCAGUUCUGCAGUGCAUUAUGCGACCGCAGAACGGGUAUGUGGACCGCAUUUCUACCGCAUACCCAGACAGUGUGUUCAGGUCUUGGGGAGCAUUUUUGCGGUCCAUUAUGCAGACCGCAUGUCCACUUUGCGAUCGCAAAUGCGAUCACAGAUCCGAGUCGGGGCUCUAGUUUUCUAAAUUUUAAACCCGACACCCUGUCGUUAUAUCCGGUGCAAUAGCUCAUUUUGAGCCCAUUUCUUGACACUUUUAGAAAGAGAGAGAGGGGUCUAAGAGAGGGGAAGUGCUUCCCAUCAAAAUUACUCCAUGAAUCCUUGGUAAUCAUUGAAGAUAAUCAAGUGAGGGACCUNNNNNNNNNNNNNNNNNNNNNNNNNAGUAUAAGGAAUAAUAAAGAGGAGGCAUGGGCAAUGGGCUAGUGUAAUCUUGCAUAAAAGAACCAUAAGGCCUUAAUGAAUACUAAAUGCUCGGUAAAAUGCUCAAGAGAGCUUAGAUUAUGAUCUUUUCUUGAUUAUGAGUUAAAUUGUGCUAUAUUUCUUAAAUAUAUUGAAGUUGCUUAAAUAUAUUGAAGUGCGAACAUUCCAGAACGUAAUAGGAUUAAGGAAAGCUCGGUUGAGGUAUGUAUGGCUAAAAACCCCGUCUUUUAGAAAUUGAGCUUCAUUGGCGUUAUUGUGGAUAUUGUAAGAUUAAAGCUGAAUUGUUGCAUUGCUUGUCAUUUUAUAUGAAUUGAUGUUGUAACCGUAUAUGCGUAAAAAAUGUGUCUCAACAUGAUCAACGUGCUAUCUUGAUAACUUGAAGAGGGAAAGGAUAUGUUAUGUAUCGAAAUUCUUGGACAUUAAAUUGAAAUUGAAGCUGCGUAUGUUGCGCCAUCCAUGUGAAGUCUCCUCUAUGCCUACAAUUUUAAUUGCUCUUGUGUGUGCUUAUUAUCCUAAAUUACAAAUCUAACAUUGAAUGUGGGAACGAUGUAAAUGUGCAGCCUAGUGCCAAGGAUAAUGUGAUGAGUUGUGGUCACAAGUGCCUAUGAAAUGAUAUAUGUGAAACGAAGUGAUUAAUGCGAAGGGAACAAUGCCUUGGAAAGCAGGCUAGUCGAUCGGGCCAAGAUCGGACUCCGCUCAAGAUAGCGGUGGUAUUGUGAAUGAAUUCCGAAAAGGAAAAUGAGAUUGUGAUUGAAAUAUAUGCCUCAAAUGAGGCGACCUAGCCGAUCAGGUCGAGAUCGGACUCCGCUGAAGAUAGCGGUGGUAUUGUGAACAAUGAUGAAUAGUGUGAAAUGCCCAAAACUAAAAGCUAUGUAAAAAUGAUGUGGAAGUUGUAUGAUUCUUUAAUUUGAUAUGGUGGUGAUCGUUUAAAGCUUGAGUUAUACUUGUGAUUUCUUAUUCUUGUAUGAAAGUUCUUUCUAAAUAGAUGGUGUUUAGUUAUACAUGCUAGUACUAUUCCAUGGUACUAACGUCCCUUUUGUCAGGGGCGCUACAUUUUUAAAUGAAUGUAGGUGGCUCCAUUGCAGAUAGUGCGGAUCACGCGUAGCAGAGUACCUUCUUCUUGAAGUCUUGGUGAGCCCCUUUCUCCUUCAAGGGUUAUAUUGCGCAUCUUUUGUUGUAGGCUUCUACUUUUGAGGUAUAGCUGGGGCCUUGUUGCCGGCAUUGUCAUAACUUGUCUUUUCUCCUUAUAGGCUCCAUAGACAUACGUGUAGGUUAUGUACAGGUGUUGGAUGGGCCUGCGAACUAUGAUGUAAUUCAAAUUCUCUCUUUUGCUAGAGUGUAUUUGCAUGGAAUAUUGGAACUUAUCGACGGUUUAAUGUUGUGAUUUAAAAUGAUCUAACAUUGUAGAAUGCACCCUCUUUCCUCGUCUAAAUAAUUGAAUGAAAGCAUGGUUUCCUUAUUCGUAUCGAGUUGGGUAGAAAGUGCUUGAUAAGGCUUGCUCAGUUGGGGGCUGCUCGAUUGAGCGCCGGUCACGCCUCCCGAGGUUGGGGCGUGACAGAUUCAUAUUAGUUGCCAUUGACUACUUCAAAAAGUGGGUCGAAGCAGUCAAGCUCAAAGCCAUCACUAAGAAAUCAGUGGUGGACUUUGUGCAUUCCAACAUUAUCAGUCGUUUUGGUAUUCCUAAAACUAUCAUUACAGACAAUGCUGCAAAUUUGAAUAGUCAUUUGAUGAGGGAGAUAUGCGAACAAUUUAAGAUCACGCAUCGGAAUUCUACCCCUUAUCGCCCCAAAGCCAAUGGUGUUGUUGAAGCAGCAUACAAGAACAUCAAGAAGAUUCUUAGAAAAAUGAUUCAAAGUUCUAGACAAUGGCAUGAAUAUUUGUCGUUUGCAUUGUUGGGAUAUCGCACAACUGUGUGCACAUCAGUUGAAGCAACACCCUAUCUAUUGGUUUAUGGCACUGAAGCCAUAAUACCCGCAGAAGUUGAAAUUCCAUCUCUUCGAAUCACCGUUGAAGCUUAGAUUGAGGACAGUGAAUAGGUCAAGACCCAUCUGGAAUAGUUAACCUUGAUUGAUGAAAAGUGAAUGGCCGCAGUUUGCCACAUGCAGCUGUAUCAACAAAGAAUGGCACAUGCCUACAACAAGUGAGGCCUAGGAACUUUGAAGUGGGCCAGCUUGUUUUGAGACGUAUUCUCCCACAUCACAAGGAAGCAAAAGGAAAAGUCGCUCCAAACUGGAAGGGCCCGUACAUUAUAAGAAAAUUGUUGCCGAAAGGGGCAUUGUACUUGGGAGACAUUGAAGGAAAUGACCCUGAAACGGCUGUCAAUGCAGAUGCGGUCAAAAGGUAUUACGUUUAACCCUUCUACGGUACCAAUAUUAUCCGAUUGAGAUGAUGAAGGCUUACAUUCUCUCUACCCCCAAAUAGUUCAACCCUUUGCCAACCCAUUGAGCCGGUUACCUUACCUUGAUUACCCUCUUUGGAACCCGAAAACGUUUGCAAAAAAAAUAAAAAAUCAAAGACAAUUUUUUCCUGAACUACGUUCGACUUGAUUCCGAAAGGAUACGUAGGCAGCCUCUCUCUGGGGUUCAGUCACACCAAAACAAAAAUCCACAUUUCCCCAAAGUUGAAAUUGGGGCAGAAUUUUAAUGGUUCGGUGAUAGUCACCUGAAAGGUUCCAAAGUUGUAAUUCAAUCCAAACUCUUUUAUCCUAAAUCAUGUUCAAAGUCCUUCUGAUCAAUCGAUAAAGAUGUUCAAAUGGAAGGAUGUUGGUUAUUUGAAUCUGAUACAAUCAAAUGAGAGAGUCUUAUUGGUAAAAACCCACACAGGCACCGUAAGGCGAUGGUGAGUAGAGAAAUUGAAAAUGAGAGAGUCUUGUUAGUGAAAACUUGCAAAGAGCACUAUAAGACGACGGUAAGAAGAUAAAUGAGAUAGGUUAGUUGGUGAAAACUCGCAAAGGGCGUCACUGAUCGAAAAAGGAAUUCCUUACAACCAUCGGCACUGAUAGAGUCCUAGUAAGGUUUGUCGAUUUUGAGGUAUGAGUUAUGAUGGGUUUAUGAGAGAUUGGAUGGUUGCACAGAUCGGGUGUCCAGUCCAAGAAUCAUGUCAUGUCUAUUGAAGUCUGCAUGCACUCCAGAUAAGUCCUUCUUUCCUUUCCCCGAAAGGGACACUUCGUGUUCGAGCUCUUUAUCCUGUCCUUUGUUUACCAUUCUUUGAAUCUCUUUUGGUUUAAUCCUCCUCCGAAACUAAUACAAAGAAGAGAUGGCAAAAUUGGUUUUAUAGGGUUUUGUUUAACAAAAGCUUAAAUUCAAGGGAAAGCACCGAGCCUCGGCAGGAGCAUCAAGUCGAUCUCGACCGGCCAUGAUUGUCGAUGCUCCAGAGUCAAAAUUAUUGAAAAGGAAAGAAAUCCAAAGUCAAGUGCCCAUAAAGGCAAAAUAAGAUGAAAAGGCUAAGCCCCCACACGGGCUAACCAUCAUGUGAAAUUUUGGAAAGCUAAGAUCCUUGGGUUUACAAAAGAGACAGAUUUCAAGAAAGCCAGUGAGUGAUGGAGAUUUUUAUCGAAAGAGUUGAGCCGAGAUAAAGUGAUCAAAACAAUCAAGGCCUUAAAACUAACCAUCGUUUCAAACUAACGAAUUGUUCUUUGAUUUGAAAAUAGGAAAACAGGUGCAGUCCAAAACAACCCUGCAAGAAGCAGGUGCAAUAAAAGCAAGGCACGCAGAAACCAUAACGGUUCUGCAGCAAGAGUUGAUCCGAAAAGGAAAAUCCUUUUAAACUCUUCAUUCAUUCUCCUAGAUAAAAUGAAAAGUGAAAAAAAAAGAAUAAGAAAAAUUCAAAAUCAUGGUAGCAUAAGGUCUCCAACUAGCUACGUCUUUCCAACAUAGGGUCCCAUUCCCUAGUCGCUGCCAGCAUAACCUGGAAGCCUUUUUUAGUAUAGGAUCCCACUCCUUAGUUGAUCCCCGGCAUCACCUGAGGACCUUUUUCCGGAAUAACCCGAUGAAUUCCCGGCAUAACCCGUGGACCUCCCUGGCAUAACCCGAGGACCUUUUUUUGGCAUAACUCGAUAACUUUUCCAACAUAACCCAUGGACCUCCCCGGCAUAACCCGAGGAACUUUUUCCGGAAUAACCCGAUGACUUUUCCGGCAUAACCCGUGGACCUCCCCGGCAUAACCCGGGCACCUUUUUCCGGCAUAACCUGAUUACUUUCCCGGCAUAACUCGUAAACCACCCCGACAUAACUCGAGGACCUUUUUCUGGCAUAAUCCAAUGACUUGGCAUAACCCGUGGACCUCCCCGGCAUAACCCGAGGACCUUUUUUCCGGCAUAACACGAUAACUUUUCCGUCAUAACUCGUGGACCUCCCCGGCAUAACCCGUGGACCUCCCCAUCAUAACCCGAGGACCUUUUUUCGGCAUAACCCGAUGACCUCCCCAGCAUACCCGAGGACAUUUUUCGGUAUAACCCGGUGACUUUCCCGACAUAACCCGUGGAUCCCCCGGUAUAACCCGAGGAACUUUUCCGGCAUAAACCGAUGACUUUUCCGGCAUAACUCGUGGACCUCCCCAGCAUAACAUGAGGACCUUUUCCGGCAUAACCCGAUGACCUUUCCCGGCAUAACCUGUGGACCUCCCCGACAUAACCUGAGGACCUUUUUCCGGCAUAACCCGAUGACCUUUUCCGGCAUAACCCGAUGACCUUUCCCCGCAUAACCCAAGGACUUUUUUCAGCAUAACCCAGUCAUUUUUCCAGCAGAACCUGGUAAUCUUCCCAACUUGGGGUCCUCCGAUCCCCAUUUGAUUUUCAUUUUAGAUAUAGGGUCUCCACUCCUUAAUCUCUUUUUCUUAAGGAUACACAAUCCCGAUUUUAUUGCUUUCAAUAAAGAAAUAGUUUAGAUUUUUGUUACAAUAACUCACGAAAUUUUUCUAGUGAAAACUGGGGCAGAAAAAUUUAAUUUCGUUUGUUUGUUUUUGUUACUGAGAAGGUUAUUCCUCAAGACACAGGGCUCGAGAUAAUCAAAAAAAAGACUCGAUCUAGAAUAAAAGAAAAGAAAGAACAAGAAAAGAAGUGAACUCUAAGUGUAGAAGCGGAGAAAAAGAUGUGGAUUGUUCAAGAUAUGAUUGAAGUCACAAGCUUUGCAUGUCCCGCCUUGAUCCAAAAAGCUGACGAAAAAUGAACCAGCAAGGCAGCUAACGAGCAUCAGGAUUCAGAUCAGAGUGUGCAGGAAGAACCAGCCAAGACUCAAGAUCAAGCUUUAGAAGGUUUAUAGAUAGGAAUCUUGUAACUCGUAGUUGAUACGCUUAGCUAGUUUAGUUUUUGAUUUUUCAUUUUUGGUGUAAUAAGGAGCUAAGCAAGCAGAAACAGCAGCAGCAGUGAAAUCACAGUUUUCCGGUAGUCCCAACUACUAAAACUUCCAAAACUACAAUGACCUGAUUCCUUUAUAGCCAAGGAUAUGUAGGCAACCUCCAAAACAAGGUUCGGUCAGACUUUUUCAAAAGACGUUUCUCAUGCAGUUUCAAACAAGCAAAAAUAGAUCGUAAUUGCUCGUUUUAUCUUUGCCCUAAAACCCUUCGUGUUUGAGCAAAGAGGGGCAGUUGUGAGCAUGUAAUUUUUGCCCUAUAUGAAUUACUCCUACAAAAUCAAAGAAAAUAGAUUUUUUUCAAUUACUUGCCAUUUUAUAGGAUUUUUGUAGGAUUUUAUUAAUUGUUUGCAUUUUUGUGCACGUUUAAUUUUGUUUAAAACCACAAAAAAUAUCAAAAAUAUCAUGCAUUGCAUUUAGAUUUUUGUUUUUAUAUUUUUAAGAUUAAUUAGUUAAUUAAUUAUUUUAUUAAAAAUAAAAAUCACAAAAAUGGCUCAUUUUUACAUUUUUACCUUUUAAAUUUUAAAUUAGUGAUUUUUCUCUUUUAAUUUAGGAUCAAGUAAUUUUUAUAAAUUUUAUAAUUAGAUAAUUAGUUUAAUUUUACAUCUUAGACUAAUUUAGGGUUUAGUUUAGGAUUUUUUUUAUUAAUUAAAGAAAAAGAAAAAGAGAAACCAAGGAAAAAGGAAAUAAAAGGAUUAAUUGAAGAAAGAGUUUAAAAUUAAAUUUGGACUGAUUUUUAUGCCUAAACCCGUUCCCAAAUACAUCCAGAACCCAGGCCCAAAAUUCCUUACCAGGUCCAACCCCUCACUAACCCGAAACGACGUUGUUUCUUUGUCUUUCAAUCACAGCCAUUGGAUUCUUUUGAUCCAACGGCUCGGAACUAGGCAAUCAAUGGUAAUAUAACUAUCCUAAAACUAGUCACCCCCCCCCCAAACUUCUAACAUCAGUCCAUUUCCCUUCUCAAACACUCUCGAAUGAGAAACCCUAGCCGCCCCUUUUACCCUCGCCAUCUCCGCCGUGGUCCGUCGACCGGAAAUUGCCUCACAGCGGUGGACCACCUCCAAACUCUACUAAAUUAACAGCAGAUAACCACCAUAACCUCCUCAU
rnacentral:lncRNA from 1 species